AUACGUAGGGUGCAAGCGUUGUUCGGAUUUAUUGGGCGUAAAGGGUCCGCAGGGGGUUCGCCAAGUCUGAUGUGAAAUCCCGAGGCUCAACCUCGGAACUGCAUUGGAAACUAGCAGACUAGAGUAUUGGAGAGGUAAGCGGAAUUUCUGGUGGAGCGGUGGAAUGCGUAGAUAUCAGAAAGAACACCGAGAGCGAAGGCAGCUUACUGGACAAUUACUGACCCUCAGGGACGAAAGCAUGGGUAGCAAACAGGAUUAGAAACCCAAGUAGUCC
rnacentral:rRNA from 1 species